AUUAGAUUGUUAUUUUUAUGGAGGCAGGACAUUGAUGGGAAGGAUGUUGCUUUGAACAAAUUCAAGGGGAAAGUUAUGUUGAUUGUCAAUGUUGCUUCAAGAUGGUAAGCUUCUCCUUCUUCAUCCUCUUGAUGUGUUUGAUGACAGUUCAUGUAGAGGUUUCUAAUCUUAAAGAUUGUGUGUUUUAUGAACAUACAGUGGUUUGACAUCAUCAAAUUACUCAGAGCUUUCACAUCUGUACGAGAAAUACAAAAC
rnacentral:sRNA from 1 species